UUAUGGCCAUAUCAUGUUGAAACACUGGUUCUUGUACUAUCACCAAAGUUGAGCAACAUCAAGCCUGGUUAGUACCUAAAUAGGUGACCACUUGGGAAUACCAGGUGCUGUAAG